CUGGCUCUGGGGCAGCAGGGCUGGAUGCAGUCCAGGGCUGGAUGAGGUCAGGGGAGUGCAGAGGAGGGCAGUGGAGAGCAGAUACACCAGGGGCCAUAGCCUGGCCUUGUCAGGACUAAAUACGAGACACGUGGCCAGACCUUGAAGGACACCAUCAAUGACCUGGAGCAAGAAUCCUGACCACAGUGAGGCCUGGGGAUUGAAGGAGCCUGCCAGACCCUGUUCAACUGUGGGAAGUCUAUGGAAGAAGACUGCCCUCCCAAGAAGCGUGAGUUCUAAGAUGUAGCAUCUGGCCAUUUCCUGCCCUCAGAAAGGGGGCUGCUCCUGGCUGUACCUCCCUGUCCCAGGCCUCAGUUUCCUCUUUUUAUAUUGGGAAUCAGUUGCUGGGGCCUGUCCACUUGGUUGGGGACCUUUGGGAACAAAUGCUUCAGGUUCUUGCAGACUGUCAGGCCCCUGUUGGGCAUUCAGGUGAUGCUUGGGGGACACUGAAGGGAACUCUACCAGAGAAGC
ensembl:lncRNA